AUUGAACGCUGGCGGAAUGCUUUACACAUGCAAGUCGAACGGCAGCACGGACUUCGGUCUGGUGGCGAGUGGCGAACGGGUGAGUAAUGUAUCGGAACGUGCCCAGUCGUGGGGGAUAACGUAGUGAAAAUUACGCUAAUACCGCAUACGAUCUAUGGAUGAAAGCGGGGGAUCGCAAGACCUCGCGCGAUUGGAGCGGCCGAUAUCAGAUUAGGUAGUUGGUGGGGUAAAGGCCCACCAAGCCAACGAUCGGUAGCUGGUCUGAGAGGACGACCAGCCAGACUGGAACUGAGACACGGUCCAGACUCCUACGGGAGGCAGCAGUGGGGAAUUUUGGACAAUGGGCGAAAGCCUGAUCCAGGCAUUCCGCGUGCAGGAUGAAGGCCCUCGGGUUGUAAACUGCUUUUGUACAGAACGAAAAGGUUUCUACUAAUACUAGGAGCUCAUGACGGUACUGUAAGAAUAAGCACCGGCUAACUACGUGCCAGCCGCCGCGGUAA
rnacentral:rRNA from 1 species